UACGUAGGUCCCGAGCGUUGUCCGGAUUUAUUGGGCGUAAAGCGAGCGCAGGUGGUUUAUUAAGUCUGGUGUAAAAGGCAGUGGCUCAACCAUUGUAUGCAUUGGAAGCUGGUAGCCUUGAGUGCAGGAGAGGAGAGUGGAAUUCCAUGUGUAGCGGUGAAAUGCGUAGAUAUAUGGAGGAACACCGGUGGCGAAAGCGGCUCUCUGGCCUGUAACUGACACUGAGGCUCGAAAGCGUGGGGAGCAAACAGG
rnacentral:rRNA from 1 species